CGAUUAGGUAGUUGGUUAGGUAACGGCUUACCAAGCCAUUGAUCGGUACGGGUUGUGAGAGCAAGAGCCCGGAGAUGGAACCUGAGACAAGGUUCCAGGCCCUACGGGGUGCAGCAGGCGCGAAACCUCCGCAAUGUGAGAAAUCGCGACGGGGGGAUCCCAAGUGCCAUUCUUAACGGGAUGGCUUUUCAUUAGUGUAAAGAGCUUUUGGAAUAAGGGCUGGGCAAGACCGGUGCCAGCCGCCGCGGUAACACCGGCAGCUCUAGUGGUAGCAGUUUUUAUUGGGCCUAAAGCGUCCGUAGCCGGUUUAAUAAGUCUCUGGUGAAAUCCUGUAGCUUAACUGUGGGAAUUGCUGGAGAUACUAUUAGACUUGAGACCGGGAGAGGUUAGAGGUACUCCCAGGGUAGAGGUGAAAUUCUGUAAUCCUGGGAGGACCGCCUGUUGCGAAGGCGUCUAACUGGAACGGUUCUGACGGUGAGGGACGAAAGUUAGGGGCGCGAACCGGAUUAGAUACCCGGGUAGUCCUAACUGUAAACGAUGCGGACUUGGUGUUGGGGUGGCUUUGAGCUGCUCCAGUGCCGAAGGGAAGCUGUUAAGUCCGCCGCCUGGGAAGUACGGUCGCAAGACUGAAACUUAA
rnacentral:rRNA from 1 species